rnacentral:rRNA from 1 species
CCUACGGGAGGCAGCAGUAGGGAAUCUUCCGCAAUGGACGAAAGUCUGACGGAGCAACGCCGCGUGAGUGAUGAAGGCUUUCGGGUCGUAAAACUCUGUUGUUAGGGAAGAACAAGUACGAGAGUAACUGCUCGUACCUUGACGGUACCUAACCAGAAAGCCACGGCUAACUACGUGCCAGCAGCCGCGGUAAUACGUAGGUGGCAAGCGUUAUCCGGAAUUAUUGGGCGUAAAGCGCGCGCAGGCGGUUUCUUAAGUCUGAUGUGAAAGCCCACGGCUCAACCCGUGGAGGGUCAUUGGAAACUGGGGAACUUGAGUGCAGAAGAGAAAAGCGGAAUUCCACGUGUAGCGGUGAAAUGCGUAGAGAUGUGGAGGAACACCAGUGGCGAAGGCGGCUUUUUGGUCUGUAACUGACGCUGAGGCGCGAAAGCGUGGGGAGCAAACAGGAUUAGAUACCCUGGUAGUCCACGCCGUAAACGAUGAGUGCUAAGUGUUAGAGGGUUUCCGCCCUUUAGUGCUGCAGCUAACGCAUUAAGCACUCCGCCUGGGGAGUACGGUCGCAAGACUGAAACUCAAAGGAAUUGACGGGGGCCCGCACAAGCGGGUGGAGCAUGUGUGUUUAAUUCGAAGCAACGCGAAGAACCUUAC